AAAAGGUAUGAAGGGCACACGGUGGAUGCCUUGGCGCCUGCAGCCGACGAAGGACGUGGCAAGCUACGAAAAGCUCCGGGGAGACGCAAGCGGUCCUUGAUCCGGAGAUCUCCGAAUGGGGCAACCCGGCUGGAGCAGUCCAGUCGCCCUCUGACGAGGGAGGAACCGGGUGAAGUGAAACAUCUCAGUAACCCGAGGAAAAGAAAUCGAAGAGAUUCCCCGAGUAGUGGUGAGCGAAACGGGAAGAGCCCAAACCCCGACAGUGCCAAGACUGCGGUCGUUGCUGCCGGGGGGUUGAGGGUGCACGAAGGAGAGGUCCGCAGACCUCUCGGGGAGUUACAAACCGACCCGCUAGUCGAAAUGUAUUGGGAAAGCAUGCCGCAGAGGGUGAAAGCCCCGUAGGCGAAAGCGGGAAGACUCCCUGUUCGUGGAACCCGAGUAGGCCGGAGCACGUGAAAUUCCGGUUGAAACAGGGCCGACCAUGGUCCAAGGCUGAAUACUGCAGGCGACCGAUAGAGAAACAGUACCGAGAGGGAAAGGUGAAAAGCACCCCUGGCGGGGAGUGAAAAGACCUGAACCCGUGUGCCUACAAGCAAUCGGAGCCGGAAUCGUCCGCGAGGGCGAGGAAGGUGACGGUGUGCCUUUUGUAAAAUGAGCCGGCGAGUCAUCGUCGGUAGCGAGGUUAAGGUCCGUUGGAGGACCGGAGCCGCAGGGAAACCGAGUCUGAACAGGGCGACGAGUUUCCGGCGAUGAACCCGAAGCCGUACGAUCUAUCCAUGAGCAGGUUGAAGCCCCGGUGAAACGGGGUGGAGGACCGAACCGGUGCCUGUUGAAAAAGUCUCGGAUGACUUGUGGAUAGGAGUGAAAAGCUAAUCGAGUACGGUAAUAGCUGGUUCUCCCCGAUAUGCAUUUAGGUGCAGCCUCAUAGAAUGACAGCCGGGGGUAGAGCUCUGGAUGGACGCGGGGGACUGGGGUCCUGCCAAAUUCAACCAAACUCCGAAUACCGGACCUGUCGAAUCGUGGGAGUGAGACCGCGGGAGAGAAGUUUCGCGGUCGUGAGGGAAAGAGCCCGGACCGUCGGCUAAGGCCCCCAAGGAUAUGCUCAGUGUGGCAAGGAUGUGGAAAUGCCCGGACAGCCAGGAGGUUGGCUUAGAAGCAGCCACCCUUUAAAGAGUGCGUAACAGCUCACUGGUCGAGGAUUUCCGCGCCGAAAAUACAGGGGGCUAAGCAUAUCGCCGAAGCCGCGGGAUGGACGACUUUGUCGUUCAUCGGUAGGGGAGCGUUCCCUGGGGGGAGAAGUCGAACCGCGAGGUUCGGUGGACCGCAGGGAAGUGAGAAUGUCGGCAUGAGUAGCGCAAAGUGUGUGAGAAACACACUCACCGUAAGCCCAAGGAUUCCUGGGGAAGGCUAAUCCGCCCAGGGUAAGGCGGGACCUAAGGCGAGGCCGAAAGGCGUAGUCGAUGGACAGCAGGUCGAGAUUCCUGCCCCGCGAAGCGACCGAUUGGACCGAAGGGGUGACGCAGGAAGCUAGGCGGAUCCGGGCGAUGGAAAUCCCGGACCAAGGGAGUAGGCGUGCGGAACAGGGAAAACCGUUCCGAUGAGCCGAGACCCGACGGGGAGUCUUUGUAAUGAAGACGAAGCCGUCGACGCUCAACUGCCGAGAAAAGCCUCUAGGGAGGGAGCAUCGCGCCCGUACCCGAGACCGACACAGGUGGGCUGGCCGAGCAGGCUGAGGUGAGCGGGAUAACUCUCGUUAAGGAACUCUGCAAGUUGACCCCGUAACUUCGGGAGAAGGGGUGCCGCACGCGUGAAAUCAAAGCUGAUGGAAGCGCGGAGCGGUCGCAGAAACCAGGCUCAGGCGACUGUUUACUAAAAACACAGGUCUCUGCGUAAGGCGCAAGCCGAAGUAUAGGGACUGACACCUGCCCGGUGCCGGAAGGUUAAAUGGAGAGGUCAGCCGCAAGGCGAAGCUUUGAAAUGAAGCCCCGGUAAACGGCGGCCGUAACUAUAACGGUCCUAAGGUAGCGAAAUUCCUUGUCGGGUAAGUUCCGACCUGCACGAAUGGUGUAACGAUCUGAGCGCUGUCUCGACGGGAGACCCGGUGAA
rnacentral:rRNA from 1 species